rnacentral:rRNA from 1 species
AUUGAACGCUGGCGGCAGGCCUAACACAUGCAAGUCGAACGAGUGGCGGACGGGUGAGUAAUGUCUGGGAAACUGCCUGAUGGAGGGGGCUAACUACUGGAAACGGUAGCUAAUACCGCAUACCAUCGGAUGUGCCCAGAUGGGAUUAGCGAGUAGGUGGGGUAAAGGCUCACCUAGGCGACGAUCCCUAGCUGGUCUGAGAGGAUGAACGGCCACAGUGGGACUGAGACACGGUCCAGACUCCUACGGGAGGCAGCAGUGGGGAAUAUUGCGCAAUGGGCGCAAGCCUGAUGCAGCCAUGCCGCGUGUGUGAAGAAGGCCUUCGGGUUGUAAAGUACUUUCAGCGGGGAGGCGUUACCCGCAGAAGAAGCACCGGCUAACUCCGUGCCAGCAGCCGCGGUAAUAC